rnacentral:tRNA from 1 species
GCCACGGUGGUCUAGCGGUUAGAACGCUGGCUUUGUAUUCCUGGGGUCUCGGGUUCGAUUCCCGGCGGUGCCC